GAUCUGAUCGCAGCGUCU
rnacentral:snRNA from 1 species